GUCUAUGGCCAUGCCACCCUGAAAGCGCCCCAUCUCGUCUGAUCUUGGAAGCUAAGCAGGUCGGGCCUUGUUAGUACUUGGAUGGGAGAUCACCUAGGAAUACCAGGUGUUGUAGGCA
ensembl:rRNA 5S_rRNA 5S ribosomal RNA